CUGUGCGGGUUUUCCUUUUGUGGGUAGGAAUUUGAGCAGAAAUAUCCACAGGAAAGUAAUAAAGUAUUAUUAAACUGACUUUCCAAACACUGGUACCUCCAUUGAUAUUUAUAUCCCCUGGCACAUGCGCAAAACAAUGUAAACAAACGUCUACAGGAGGCCUCUAGGCAAGUAUGCAUGCAUUGCCUGCGCAUGCUGCAGGUGAUCUGAACGCACUACCAGGCUUUUAAAAGUUAGUUGAAUUAUACUUUCAUGUGAAUAUUGUCUCAAAUUCCGAACUAUACAAGAACCAACCCGACAGACAAUCAGCAGAGGGUCAAAGACAGGAAGUAGAGAGAGGGAGAGAGUGGGCAGGGAGAGGACGAACAGGUCAUCAGGGGCCAGAGACACGCAGCAGAGAGAGGUAGAGGGAGAACACAACCCAUGUUGAAGCAAGGAGAGGACGAACAGGACAUCAGAAAGGAGCUUUAGUGCCCUCAGGAGGUUGAAGACGUGGCUGCGCUCAACAAUGACAAAGCAGACCAUGUUGCUUUCUGUCAUAUUCACCAGGAGAAGCUGGAUAGCAUAGAUAUGAAAACAAUAUGCCAGAAUGUUAUUGCUGCCAGUGACAGGCGUAAAAUGGUAUUGUUGCAUUUAAGUUAAUUGAGACUGAAGAUCUGACCCCUCUAUGUACCAUGUAUAAGGUUGCAACCGGUUAUUGACUGUUAUUGAAUGUGUAUGUUUUUUCACUUGAUGGUGAAUGACAAUGAGCUGUUGCUAUGUCUUUUUUACAUCUAUUUCUUGAGCUUGAUGCCAUAUUGAUUAGUUUAUUUUGAAGUCUAUUUUCCUAUAGCAUUUUAUUCCAUAUUGAAUAAUUAUAUUUUGAAUGGCACUGAAUUAUUUUAUGAAUUAAAUACUACAAUUAAAUUGUGUA